CCUACGGGAGGCUGCAGUGGGGAAUAUUGGGCAAUGGGCGCAAGCCUGACCCAGCAACGCCGCGUGAAGGAAGAAGGCUUUCGGGUUGUAAACUUCUUUUCUCAGGGACGAAGCAAGUGACGGUACCUGCGGAAUAAGCCACGGCUAACUACGUGCCAGCAGCCGCGGUAAUACGUAGGUGGCAAGCGUUAUCCGGAUUUACUGGGUGUAAAGGGCGUGUAGGCGGGACUGCAAGUCAGAUGUGAAAACCAUGGGCUCAACCUAUGGACUGCAUUUGAAACUGUAGUUCUUGAGUACUGGAGAGGUAGACGGAAUUCCUAGUGUAGCGGUGAAAUGCGUAGAUAUUAGGAGGAACACCAGUGGCGAAGGCGGUCUGCUGGACAGCAACUGACGCUGAGGCGCGAAAGCGUGGGGAGCAAACAGGAUUAGAUACCCCUGUAGUC
rnacentral:rRNA from 1 species